rnacentral:rRNA from 1 species
CCCGCGUGGGAUGAUGAANGCCUUCGGNUUGUAAACUCCUUUCGAUAGGGACGAUAAUGACGGUACCUGUAGAAUAAGCCCCGGCUAACUUCGUGCCAGCAGCCGCGGUAAUACGAAGGGGGCUAGCGUUGCUCGGAAUGACUGGGCGUAAAGGGCGCGUAGGCGGUUCGACCAGUCUUAUGUGAAAUCCCCGGGCUCAACCUGAAGUCUGCAUGUGAUACUGGCGGGCUUGAGUGUGGAAGAGGUGAGUGGAAUUUCCGGUGUAGAGGUGAAAUGCGUAGAUAUCGGAAGGAACACCUGUGGCGAAAGCGGCUCACUGGACCAUAACUGACGCUGAUGCACGAAAGCUUGGGGAGCAAACAGGAUUAGAUACCCUGGUAGUCCNNGCCCUAAACGAUGNNUGCUGGAUGUGGGGGANCCCNAUCCUC